rnacentral:rRNA from 1 species
UGGGGAAUAUUGCACAAUGGGCGCAAGCCUGAUGCAGCGACGCCGCGUGCGGGAUGGAGGCCUUCGGGUUGUAAACCGCUUUUGUUUGGGAGCAAGCCCUUCGGGGUGAGUGUACCUUUCGAAUAAGCACCGGCUAACUACGUGCCAGCAGCCGCGGUAAUACGUAGGGUGCGAGCGUUAUCCGGAAUUAUUGGGCGUAAAGGGCUCGUAGGCGGUUCGUCGCGUCCGGUGUGAAAGUCCAUCGCUUAACGGUGGAUCCGCGUCGGGUACGGGCGGGCUGGAGUGCGGUAGGGGAGACUGGAAUUCCCGGUGUAACGGUGGAAUGUGUAGAUAUCGGGAAGAACACCAAUGGCGAAGGCAGGUCUCUGGGCCGUUACUGACGCUGAGGAGCGAAAGCGUGGGGAGCGAACAGGAUUAGAUACCCUGGUAGU